rnacentral:rRNA from 1 species
CCUACGGGGGGCAGCAGUAGGGAAUCGUCCACAAUGGACGAAAGUCUGAUGGAGCAACGCCGCGUGAGUGAAGAAGGGUUUCGGCUCGUAAAGCUCUGUUGGUAGGGAAGAAAGAUAGAGGGAGUAACUGGCCUUGAGUUGACGGUAAGUACGGAGAAAGGCACGGCUAACUACGUGCCAGCAGCCGCGGUAAUACGUAGGGGGCAAGCGUUGGCCGGAUUGAUUGGGCGUAAAGCGCGUGCAGGCGGUUCCAUAAGUCUGAUGUGAAAGCCUUCGGCUCAACCGGAGACUUGCAUCAGCAACUGUUGCCCCUGCGUGCAGUAGAGGAGAGUGCCACUCCCUGUGUAGCGGUUG